GACGAACGCUGGCGGCGUGCUUAACACAUGCAAGUCGAGCGGUAAGGCCUUUCGGGGUACACGAGCGGCGAACGGGUGAGUAACACGUGGGUGAUCUGCCCUGCACUUCGGGAUAAGCCUGGGAAACUGGGUCUAAUACCGGAUAUGACCUCCUAUCGCAUGGUGGGUGGUGGAAAGAUUUAUCGGUGCAGGAUGGGCCCGCGGCCUAUCAGCUUGUUGGUGGGGUAAUGGCCUACCAAGGCGACGACGGGUAGCCGACCUGAGAGGGUGACCGGCCACACUGGGACUGAGACACGGCGCAGACUCCUACGGGAGGCAGCAGUGGGGAAUAUUGCACAAUGGGCGAAAGCCUGAUGCAGCGACGCCGCGUGAGGGAUGACGGCCUUCGGGUUGUAAACCUCUUUCAGCAGGGACGAAGCGGAAGUGACGGUACCUGCAGAAGAAGCACCGGCUAACUACGUG
rnacentral:rRNA from 1 species